AGCGAACGCUGGCGGCAGGCCUAACACAUGCAAGUCGAACGAACUCUUCGGAGUUAGUGGCGGACGGGUGAGUAACACGUGGGAACGUGCCUUUUGGUUCGGAAUAACUCAGGGAAACUUGUGCUAAUACCGAAUGUGCCCUUCGGGGGAAAGAUUUAUCGCCAUUAGAGCGGCCCGCGUCUGAUUAGCUAGUUGGUGAGGUAACGGCUCACCAAGGCGACGAUCAGUAGCUGGUCUGAGAGGAUGACCAGCCACACUGGGACUGAGACACGGCCCAGGCUCCUACGGGAGGCAGCAGUGGGGAAUCUUGCGCAAUGGGCGAAAGCCUGACGCAGCCAUGCCGCGUGAAUGAUGAAGGUCCUAGGAUUGUAAAAUUCUUUCACCGGGGACGAUAAUGACGGUACCCGGAGAAGAAGCCCCGGCUAACUUCGUG
rnacentral:rRNA from 1 species